GACUCCGUCUGCAGAGUGGAUGGACGGAUCCUCAUCAAAGUAGUUGUGUGGACGCAGCAGAACCCCGCCCCCGUUGCCGACUGUUACUGUGUUGGGGAUGUCCUCAGCAUGGGGGAUGUGGAGGAAACCAGUGGUCACCCAGGCAACCAGGUCCUAAAAAGAAACAAGGAAAAGUUAAAGGUGUGUGUUUUGUUAUAAUUUAGGGAGAUUAAAUAAUGUGAACACAAACCUCAUUUUCAAUGCUCUCAUUAUCGUCUAUGUACUUGCUGAAAUCAACAACUGGAUCCCAGAUCUCAUGCUGAUUGUACAGACUGCUGCUGCUCUGUUCCAGGUCCUUGUGCUUAGUUAUGGCAACUUUAUACCUGCCAGAAGAUAAACUUAUAUCAGACUUCAGUUGUCUUUGCGCUGCGGAAAAACUAUAAAUCGAAAAGGAGCAGGAUUCUGGAUCAGGAAACAUUUGAACCUGUUUCUUACCUGGCCCAGGACAUGGCCUUCUCCUCUGCCUGGCUCUGUGGAAGGUGGUCUGCAGUGUUGCUGGACACUUGUAGCCUGUAGGAGCGCUGAUGCCCCCAACGGUUGGUCUUCUUGCUUGCAAUAUGAAG